rnacentral:lncRNA from 1 species
GCAAGGACCACUCUUGUUACAGACGUGUUCUAACGGUGCCUUUGAAGUGCCAGAAAAAAGUGAUUAGAGUCCUAAGCAGCAGAAACUUAAUGAGGUUAUUAGGCCUGUAGAUGUUGCGGGCAGUUAAUUGCCUACGUUCAAGUCUGGCACCCUAGUGGUUUUUUUGUUUGUUUGUUUUUUACUUGGUUUUGUUUUGCUAUGCAGUGUAGAGGCCGUGUACCUGUUUGAUGGUUUGAUGUUCUGACUUGUUUGUAUGUGAAGCCGGGUGUAUUAAAGCAAGACUGACCAAUCUUUCAAAGGGCCUCUGGACAGUUCCGGGAAAGCCUGUCAGUUCAGAACUGUGCGUUUGUUGACCUUUAUUUGUCUGUGUGUUUUUAAGUGUCAGUGCUCUUCCCACGUGUUUGUAUUUCACUUACCAUCCUCAAUUUAGUGCCAAAGAUCUGGAAUAUGUAUAAAUUGCCCUAUUCAAAUGGAGAUGAAGCUCUGUGGUAAGAUGCUUGCCUGUCAAUCAUGAGACCCCAUGUUUGAGCAUUAGUCGGAAGAAAAAAACUAAAAAUAUCCAUUAAAGUUUUCAUGUGUCUUUAGACAAAUAUUUCCAUGUCUUUAGUGACCUGAAAUCUAUUUGCCUACAAAGAAUUUAGUGUUUGUCACAUAAGAUGUUUGCAUUUUCAAGUGAAAUUUUCAAGUAGUAGAAAGUGCUGCCUUGUGAGCCAGACAACAAAGGCUCUUUACCCAACCAUAGAGAACAAUGGGGAAUUGUCCUGGGACUCAGGGAUAAUAGUAAUUAAUUUUAUCCUAAGUCAGGCUCUCUCUGUGUUUUUAACUUUCUGUAAUUCCCAAGGCUACUAUUGACUCCUUCAUUAUUCAUCAGGGAGUGGUAAAAUGUGUCUUCCAUUCUAGCCUAUGAUUACUGUUGAUGGCAUGAUGACAUAUGCCUAGAAAUUUAUAAGAUUUUUUGUUUUAGUAUUCAUUUUUAAGUGCAUGAAAACAAUAGUAUAUAGUCUUUCUUCUUAUCCCUCACCUCCUCCCUUCCUCUCUCAUUUUUCCCAUGCAACAAUAAAGG